rnacentral:rRNA from 1 species
GACGAACGCUGGCGGCGUGCUUAACACAUGCAAGUCGAACGGUGAAGCACCUUCCUUUUGGUGGGUGUGGAUGAGUGGCGAACGGGUGAGUCACACGUGAGUAACCUGCCCCCUUCUUCUGGAUAACCGCAUGAAAGUGUGGCUAAUACGGGAUUUUCUGGGUCUGUAGCAUGGCGGGCCUGGGAAAGGUAUUGUUUCGGUGGGGGGUGGGCUCGCGGUCUAUUUGGUUGUUGGGGUGGGGAAGGGCUACCCAGGCGAUGACGGGCCGCCGGACUGGGAGGGUGGACGGUCACACUGGGGCUGAGACACGGACCAGACUCCUACGGGAGGCAGCAGUGAAGAAUAUGGCACAGUCGGCGCAAGCCUGAUGCAGCGACGCGGCGUGAGGGAUGGAGGCCUGCGGGUUGUAAACCUCUUUCGCCAGUGAAGCAGGCCUGUCGCUUUUGUGGGUGGGUUGACGGUAGCUGGAUAAGAAGCGCCGGCUAACUACGUG